rnacentral:misc_RNA from 1 species
AAGUCGUAAUAAGGUCUCCGUAGGUGAACCUGCGGAGGGAUCAUUAACUUGUAUGAUGAAUUGUGACAGCAAUGUCAUAUUCAUCUAUCAACAACCAAAAACAAAUCAACCCCGUGAAUUUGAGUAUUCAUUUACUCAUUGCCAGCCCCGCAAUUGAACAGCGUAACGGAGCAUUAAGUUGCUGACCAGUGGCGUGUCACCGUUUGGAAUGGCUUGCUUAACGCUUGCCUGGUGUCGCUACCUCGUAUAGUAGAUUCGGACAAAUUUUUAACAACAUAUAACAUAUUUCACCCAUUCGUACAACCAUUGACUGAAACGAAAGGUGUUUUUAACGAAACGCCUACAUUCGAGUUUAUUCGAAAUCUAAGCACAACUCUUAGCAACGGAUAUCUUGGUUCUC